UCGCAGCACCGUGUCCCCCUUAGGGG
rnacentral:piRNA from 1 species